rnacentral:rRNA from 1 species
UGCAGUUCGAGCGGACAGAUGGGAGCUUGCUCCCUGAUGUUAGCGGCGGACGGGUGAGUAACACGUGGGUAACCUGCCUGUAAGACUGGGAUAACUCCGGGAAACCGGGGCUAAUACCGGAUGCUUGUUUGAACCGCAUGGUUCAAACAUAAAAGGUGGCUUCGGCUACCACUUACAGAUGGACCCGCGGCGCAAUAGCUAGUUGGUGAGGUAACGGCUCACCAAGGCAACGAUGCGUAGCCCACCUGAGAGGGUGAUCGGCCACACUGGGACUGAGACACGGCCCAGACUCCUACGGGAGGCAGCAGUAGGGAAUCUUCCGCAAUGGACGAAAGUCUGACGGAGCAACGCCCCGUGAGUGAUGAAGGUUUUCGGAUCGUAAAGCUCUGUUGUUAGGGAAGAACAAGUACCGUUCGAAUAGGGCGGUACCUUGACGGUACCUAACCAGAAAGCCACGGCUAACUACGUGCCAGCAGCCGCGGUAAUACGUAGGUGGCAAGCGUUGUCCGGAAUUAUUGGGCGUAAAGGGCUCGCAGGCGGUUUCUUAAGUCUGAUGUGAAAGCCCCCGGCUCAACCGGGGAGGGUCAUUGGAAACUGGGGAACUUGAGUGCAGAAGAGGAGAGUGGAAUUCCACGUGUAGCGGUGAAAUGCGUAGAGAUGUGGAGGAACACCAGUGGCGAAAGCGACUCUCUGGUCUGUAACUGACGCUUAGGAGCGAAAGCGUGGGGAGCGAACAGGAUUAGAUACCCUGGUAGUCCACGCCGUAAACGAUGAGUGCUAAGUGUUAGAGGGUUUCCGCCCCUUAGUGCUGCAGCUAACGCAUUAAGCACUCCGCCUGGGGAGUACGGUCGCAAGACUG